rnacentral:rRNA from 1 species
AUGGUGGGGCACUCAUGGAGUCAGCACAAGGCUACUAAAAAAUUGUCAUUGAAGGUACUUGGGCAGCCUGCAUCUUCCUCUUGCUGUGAAAGGAAUUGGAGCACAUAUGGUUUCAUCCGUAGUUCUGGAAGAAACAAGCUAACACCUCCUAGAGCUUCCGAUUUGGUGCACACACACAACAACCAUCGCCUUCUUUCAAGGAAUUCUCAAGCAUAUAAAACUGGGCCAAGCCGAAUGUGGGAUGUUGGGGGUGAUGGAGUUGAGUCUUUUUCUAGUGUUGGCAUCCUUGAAGUUGUAGAUCUUUCACUUGAUGAACCAGAAUUGGAGGAGGAAAUCAUUGGUUCUCUCACUUGA